GAUGAACGCUGGCGGCGUGCCUAACACAUGCAAGUCGAACGGAGUCGUUUUGGAAAUCUCUUCGGAGAUGGAAUUCUCGACUUAGUGGCGGACGGGUGAGUAACGCGUGAGCAAUCUGCCUUUAAGAGGGGGAUAACAGUCGGAAACGGCUGCUAAUACCGCAUAAAGCAUUAAAUUCGCAUGUUUUUGAUGCCAAAGGAGCAAUCCGCUUUUAGAUGAGCUCGCGUCUGAUUAGCUAGUUGGCGGGGUAACGGCCCACCAAGGCGACGAUCAGUAGCCGGACUGGAAGUUAGAACGGCCACAGUGGGACUGAGACACGGGCCAUACUCCUACGGGAGGCAGCAGUGGGGAAUAUUGCGCAAUGGGGGAAACCCUGACGCAGCAACGCCGCGUUAUUGAAGAAGGCCUUCGGGUUGUAAAGAUCUUUAAUCAAGGACGAAACAAAUGGCGGGACCUGAAGAAUAAGCUCCGGCUAACUACGUG
rnacentral:rRNA from 1 species